ACAUUUUCCUCAUAGGGUUGUUGUAUUGGAUGAGUUAAUAUGUGUAAAAUGGGUUAGAAGACUGCCUAAAACAUCUGUUGCAAAACUGAAAGUUUCUUUAUUCAGGACGCUAAGAGAACAUUGUGAUUCACUGAAUGAGAACUGGAAGCAUUGAACAUGUAAAUCUGUUGGCAAGUGAGCAGCAACAAUUUCAACUGAAGAAUUUAGGCCAGCAAACAAGAUUACCUACAAAUUAUAAUUAAGGAUAAUUGUCUUUACAAAAUGUAUCACUUUACUUUUAAACAUGUAGAAGGCUCUGCCCUGAAACAUGUUUAUUCCUUACAUUUUAACCCUAGAAUGAGCAUGACAUUUG